UACGGAGGAUGCAAGCGUUAUCCGGAUUUAUUGGGUUUAAAGGGUGCGCAGGAUGUUUGAUAAGUCAGUGGUGAAAGUCUGUCGCUUAACGGUAGGAUUGCCAUUGAUACUGUUGGACUUGAAUAUGGAUGAGGUAGGCGGAAUGUGUAGUGUAGCGGUGAAAUGCAUAGAUAUUACACAGAACACCGAUUGCGAAGGCAGCUCACUAAUCCAUCAUUGACGCUGAGGCACGAAAGCGUGGGGAU
rnacentral:rRNA from 1 species